AUGAUGCUUUGGCUGCAUUUCCUUCUCAUUGCGACAGCUUUCCGAGGGGCUGGGGCUCAGGCUCAGCUCGUGGAGUCCGGAGGAGACAUUAAGAAGCCCGGACAAUCUCUGCGCCUCACCUGUAAAGGCUCCGGCUUUGAUUUCAGCCAGGCCGGGAUGCACUGGGUCCGACAAGCUCCCGGGAAGGGACUGGAGUGGGUCUCCGUGAUUUUCUUCGAUGGGAGUAAGGAAUAUUACGCCCCUUCUGUCAAAGGGCGAUUCUCCACCUCCAGGGACAACUCCCAAAACCUGGCCUAUUUAGACAUGAGCAGCCUGAAGCCAGAGGACACCGCCCGGUAUUACUGUGCAGCGUCACAGUGA